rnacentral:rRNA from 1 species
AGCUCAAAUUUGAAAUCUGGCGUAAGCCCGAGUUGUAAUUUGUAGAGGAUGCUUCUGGGUAGCGGCCGGUCUAAGUUCCUUGGAACAGGACGUCAUAGAGGGUGAGAAUCCCGUAUGUGACUGGCUUGCACCCUCCACGUAGCUCCUUCGACGAGUCGAGUUGUUUGGGAAUGCAGCUCUAAAUGGGAGGUAAAUUUCUUCUAAAGCUAAAUACCGGCCAGAGACCGAUAGCGCACAAGUAGAGUGAUCGAAAGAUGAAAAGCACUUUGGAAAGAGAGUUAAAAAGCACGUGAAAUUGUUGAAAGGGAAGCGCCCGCAACCAGACUUUGCGGCGGUGUUCGGCUGGUCUUCUGACCGGUUUACUCGCCGCCGUGAGGCCAUCAUCGUCUGGGACCGCUGGAUAAGACCUGAGGAAUGUAGCUCCCUUCGGGGUGUGUUAUAGCCUCUGGUGAUGCAGCGCGUCUCGGGCGAGGUCCGCGCUUCGGCAAGGAUGAUGGCGUAAUGGUUGUCGGCGGCCCGUCUUGAAACACGGACCAAGGAGUCUAACAUCUAUGCGAGUGUUCGGGUGUCAAACCCCUACGCGUAAUGAAAGUGAACGGAGGUGGGAACUUUUUGUGCACCAUCGACCGAUCUUGAUGUCCUCGGAUGGAUUUGAGUAAGAGCAUAGCUGUUGGGACCCGAAAGAUGGUGAACUAUGCCUGAAUAGGGUGAAGCCAGAGGAAACUCUGGUGGA